CCUACGGGAGGCAGCAGUGGGGAAUAUUGGACAAUGGGGGCAACCCUGAUCCAGCCAUGCCGCGUGUGUGAAGAAGGCCCUCGGGUUGUAAAGCACUUUCAGUGAGGAAGAACGCCUGGUGGUUAAUACCCAUCAGGAAAGACAUCACUCACAGAAGAAGCACCGGCUAACUCCGUGCCAGCAGCCGCGGUAAUACGGAGGGUGCGAGCGUUAAUCGGAAUUACUGGGCGUAAAGCGCGCGUAGGUGGCUUGAUAAGCCGGUUGUGAAAGCCCCGGGCUCAACCCGGGAACGGCAUCCGGAACUGUCAAGCUAGAGUGCAGGAGAGGAAGGUAGAAUUCCCGGUGUAGCGGUGAAAUGCGUAGAGAUCGGGAGGAAUACCAGUGGCGAAGGCGGCCUUCUGGACUGACGCUGACACUGAGGUGCGAAAGCGUGGGUAGCAAACAGGAUUAGAUACCCUUGUAGUC
rnacentral:rRNA from 1 species